AUACGUAGGGGGCGAGCGUUGUCCGGAAUGAUUGGGCGUAAAGGGCGCGUAGGCGGCCCGGUAAGUCUGGAGUGAAAGUCCUGCUUUUAAGGUGGGAAUUGCUUUGGAUACUGUCGGGCUUGAGUGCAGGAGAGGUAAGUGGAAUUCCCAGUGUAGCGGUGAAAUGCGUAGAGAUUGGGAGGAACACCAGUGGCGAAGGCGACUUACUGGACUGUAACUGACGCUGAGGCGCGAAAGUGUGGGGAGCAAACAGGACUAGAUACCCUGGUAGUCCACACUGUAAACGAUGAAUGCUAGGUGUAGGGGGUAUCGACCCCUUCUGUGCCGCAGUUAACACAAUAAGCAUUCCGCCUGGGGAGUACGGCCGCAAGGUUGAAACUCAAAGGAAUUGACGGGG
rnacentral:rRNA from 1 species